rnacentral:rRNA from 1 species
CGUUCCCAGGCCUUGUACACACCGCCCGUCACAUCAUGAAAGCCGGUUGUACCCGAAGUCGCUCCUUAAAAGGUGCCGAAGGUAUGGCUGGUGAUUGGGAUG